UUUAAAGAGAGUUUGAUCCUGGCUCAGGACGAACGCUGGCGGCGUGCCUAAUACAUGCAAGUCGAACGAACGGAGGAAGAGCUUGCUCUUCCAAAGUUAGUGGCGGACGGGUGAGUAACACGUGGGCAACCUGCCUGUAAGUUGGGGAUAACUCCGGGAAACCGGGGCUAAUACCGAAUGAUAAAGUGUGGCGCAUGCCACGCUUUUGAAAGAUGGUUUCGGCUAUCGCUUACAGAUGGGCCCGCGGUGCAUUAGCUAGUUGGUAGGGUAAUGGCCUACCAAGGCAACGAUGCAUAGCCGACCUGAGAGGG
rnacentral:rRNA from 1 species